AGAGUUUGAUCCUGGCUCAGGAUGAACGCUAGCGGCAGGCUUAACACAUGCAAGUCGAGGGGCAGCGGGGAGUAGCAAUACUCUGCCGGCGACCGGCGAAAGGGUGCGUAACGCGUGAGCAACUUGCCCGUAUCUGGGACAUAAGCGAUGGAAACGCCGUCUAAUUUCCCAUAACAACAGAGGCCGCAUGACCUUUGUUUGAAAGAUCCGUCGGAUACGGAUGGGCUCGCGAGACAUUAGCUAGUUGGUGUGGUAACGGCACACCAAGGCGACGAUGUCUAGGGGUUCUGAGAGGAAGGUCCCCCACACUGGAACUGAGACACGGUCCAGACUCCUACGGGAGGCAGCAGUGAGGAAUAUUGGUCAAUGGACGCAAGUCUGAACCAGCCAUGCCGCGUGAAGGAUUGAGGCCCUAUGGGUUGUAAACUUCUUUUGUGGUGGAGCAAUAAGGCGUACGUGUACGCCGAUGAGAGUACAUCACGAAUAAGCAUCGGCUAACUCCGUGCCAGCAGCCGCGGUAAUACGGAGGAUGCGAGCGUUAUCCGGAUUUAUUGGGUUUAAAGGGUGCGUAGGCGGACGUUCAAGUCGGCGGUCAAAUGGGCGGGCUCGACCCGUUCCCGCCGUCGAAACUGGGCGACUUGAGUAGGAGAGGGGCACGCGGAAUGCGCGGUGUAGCGGUGAAAUGCAUAGAUAUCGCGCAGAACUCCGAUCGCGAAGGCAGCGUGCCGGCUCCUCACUGACGCUGAAGCACGAAAGCGUGGGGAUCGAACAGGAUUAGAUACCCUGGUAGUCCACGCAGUAAACGAUGAGCACUAGGUGUGCGGCCGGAUUGGGGCUGCGUGCCACAGCGAAAGCGUUAAGUGCUCCACCUGGGGAGUACGCCGGCAACGGUGAAACUCAAAGGAAUUGACGGGGGCCCGCACAAGCGGAGGAACAUGUGGUUUAAUUCGAUGAUACGCGAGGAACCUUACCCGGGCUCGAACGGCGGGGGACGGGCACUGAAAAGUGCCUUCACGCGAGUGUCCCCGCCGAGGUGCUGCAUGGUUGUCGUCAGCUCGUGCCGUGAGGUGUCGGCUUAAGUGCCAUAACGAGCGCAACCCCCGCCGGCAGUUGCUAACGGGCAAUGCCGAGGACUCUGCCGGGACUGCCGGCGCAAGCCGCGAGGAAGGCGGGGAUGACGUCAAAUCAGCACGGCCCUUACGUUCGGGGCGACACGCGUGUUACAAUGGCGGGUACAGCGGGAAGCGACCGUGCGAGCGGGAGCGGAGCCCGAAAACCCGUCUCAGUUCGGAUCGGAGUCUGCAACCCGACUCCGUGAAGCUGGAUUCGCUAGUAAUCGCGCAUCAGCCAUGGCGCGGUGAAUACGUUCCCGGGCCUUGCACACACCGCCCGUCA
rnacentral:rRNA from 1 species